GGAACUGCAUUCGAAACUGGCAGGCUAGAGUCUUGUAGAGGGGGGUAGAAUUCCAGGUGUAGCGGUGAAAUGCGUAGAGAUCUGGAGGAAUACCGGUGGCGAAGGCGGCCCCCUGGACAAAGACUGACGCUCAGGUGCGAAAGCGUGGGGAGCAAACAGGAUUAGAUACCCUGGUAGUCCACGCCGUAAACGAUGUCGAUUUGGAGGUUGUGCCCUUGAGGCGUGGCUUCCGGAGCUAACGCGUUAAAUCGACCGCCUGGGGAGUACGGCCGCAAGGUUAAAACUCAAAUGAAUUGACGGGGGCCCGCACAAGCGGUGGAGCAUGUGGUUUAAUUCGAUGCAACGCGAAGAACCUUACCUGGUCUUGACAUCCACAGAACUU
rnacentral:rRNA from 1 species